GCGGCCGCGCUGGUUCUCCUUGAGGUCCAGGUAGUACUUGCGGUUCUCGCGCACCAGGAACUCGCUCUUGAGCGCGCGGCGCGGCCCGCCGCCCUCCUCGGCGCCCGCCGCCAGCUGCUCGGGGCUGCUGGGACCCAGCUGCGCGUAGUGCUCGAUGAAGUCGCCCAGCGAGUCGCGGAACUCGGCGGCCACCGCCAUCGACAGCGUGAGGCGGCUCUUGGAGCCGCCCGCGCCCACCUCGGCGAUCUUGAGGAAGCGGCCCUUGGCGUUCUGCUUCACGUCCAGGAUCAGAAAAGAAGCCCACAGCAAGUCCACCCAAGCCUUGCAUAUACCUCAGUACUGCUCUGUCCUCAGAGUACAAAAAGAGGACCCAGGUUUGAGUCUCAGAA
rnacentral:lncRNA from 1 species